CCCUUAGAUGUUCUGGGCCGCACGCGCGCUACACUGUUCGACGCAGCGAGUCUUAACCUUGACCGAAAGGUUUGGGUAAUCUUCAGCAAAGUCGAACGUGAUGGGGAUCGAUCAUUGCAAUUAUUGAUCGUGAACGAGGAAUUCCUAGUAAGUGCAAGUCAUCAGCUUGCGCUGAUUACGUCCCUGCCCUUUGUACGCACCGCCCGUCGCUACUACCGAUUGAAUGGUUUAGUGAGAUCUCUGGAUUGACGCUGGCUAGGGGGCGACCCUUGGCCAGGCUGUCGAGAAACUGCUCAAACUUGAUCAUUUAGAGGAAGUAAAAGUCGUAACA
rnacentral:rRNA from 1 species